rnacentral:rRNA from 1 species
GACGAACGCUGGCGGCGUGCUUAACACAUGCAAGUCGAACGGAAAGGCCCUGCUGUUGUUUGCUGCUCGAGUGGCGAACGGUUGAGUAACGCGGGAGUAACCUGCGCUUGACUGUGGGAUAACGGCGGGAAACUGGGGCUAAUGCCGGAUAAGAGCGCCUACUGCAUGGUGGUGGUUGGAAAUUUUCGGCGGUUGGGGAUUGACUCGCGGCUUAUCAGAUUUUUGGUGGGGUAGUGGAUUAACCAGGUUAUGACGGGUAGCCGGACUGAGAGGGUGACCGGACCCAUAGGGCUUGAGAUAACGGCAAGACUGCUACGGGAGGCAGGAGUGGGGAAUAUUGCACACUGGGCGGCAGGCUUAUGCAGGAACGCCGCGUGCGGGAUGACGGCCUUAGGGUUGUAACCCGCUUUAGACUGUGACGAAGAGUGAGUGACGGUAAUGGGUAAAGAAGCAACGGCUAACUACGUG